AAUAAAUUAAUAAUAAUAAAUAUAAGGAUUCUGGGGGAAAUAUAUAUUAAGUCAUUUUGAAGUGAGAAUGGAUUUGAAAAAUAGUCAGGGACAAAAAUUUAGGUAGAAAGGUGGAUCACUGCCGCAUUAAAAUAGAGAAAGAUUACGAAGAACCUAAAUGAAUAACGUAGGAAUGGUUAAAGUGUGAAGCUUAUGUAGAACGAAAUGUUUUCAUAGCUAUUUUAGUGACAUGGGGAAAUACCCAUGACAUAAUUAGGUAGUAAACAGAAUAAUAUACAAAACUGUACAUACAACACAAUCAUGAACAUAAUAAAAUGUGUCUAGAAACAGGAUUAGGAGGAAAAACAACAGAAUAUGAACAGUGAUGGGGAAAUGAAUAUUUUGUAUUUUCUACUUUAUACUCUAUUUCCCAAGUUUUUACAGUGAGCACUUUUAUAAUCAGGUAACGGAAUAACUUUCAUUUUACAUCUUCAAUAUUUGGUUAGUUUGUAUACAUUAUAGUCCAGAAUCCCUGUGAAUGAAAAAGUAUGGGAAAAAUGAAUUCUCGAAAGAGAAAACAUAGCAAGUCUUUAAGAGAAAGUUCGAAGAGAGAGGAAAAUUGCUGUAUUUCUAAUUAGUAGUAACUUGAUAAGUAACUUCCUUGCCUAAACUUUCAAGAAUGUGCAACAAAGCCACGCCCAGAGGUUGCUAUGACUACAGAGGUAAACCUGAGUAGGUCAGCAUUCACCCUGCUUCCAAGGUGAGGCAGGAGAAAGAAUGUGGGCUCUGGAAAGAGACAAAUCCCCCUUUGUACCUCUGCCUUCUCUCCUCCCCCAUCUGACCCUCUUCCCUCCCUCAGCUCUCCCAUUUGCCAUCUCUUCCUCCCCACUUCUUAGCUCCCAGUGCAGUCAAUAGUGUCAAACCUUCCUCUUCCCUCUCUUCCCCUCCUUUCUGGGCCUCCACGGGGUGCUGCAUUUUUCUGAGCACCUUGCUCACAUAAGCUCUGGAAAGCAGGAUUUGUUUCCCACUGGAAACAGGACCUGCCCAUGGCCUUUGUGCAGUAGCGAUCAUGGUGAACACAGAACUGUGCUAUCUGAAGGAAUCCUCGAGGUGCCUCCUCUUCAGUGGAGAGAUCCUUCCAUAGUCUCCUCGACUUAUGACUUCUAGUUAAUAUACUCCUGUGAUGCCUCUGCUUUACUGCAAUAAUCUGUUUAUCCACCUGACGGCUGUUGGGGACUGUGUGGUGAAGUGGAAAAAUGACACUUCGCUCUUGUGUUUCCUGCCUUCAGUACAGCUACUGAGUAAAUAGUUGCUGUUCAAUUGAUACUUCUGAGGCAGAGAAGACAAUUUAUCUACUAAAAGCAUAGCCGCCCUUCAGUGGCUGUAAACUCAGCCACCUGCCUUCUGCUGAUUGGGAUGUCAGCUACAGACUGUGCCUACAGUGGAUGAACAGAACUCCUCUCACUUUGGUGACUCCCCAACCUGCAGCCUGGAUCCGGGCAAGGCUGGAGGCUCAAAGGAGGCUGGGUGGGUUCUUUCUGGUGCUCACAUUCCCUCUGGAGCAGGCCUUAGAAUGUGGGGGCUGAGAAGAGAGAUUCUUUGGAUUGUAAGCUCUUGAAGAGCAGAAACUGAGAAUUAUUCAUCUUUGAAUCCUGAAUGGAUAGCAGAUGCUUGGGACAUGGCAAGUGCUCAAUAAAACUCCCAUGGGUUGCUCAGGA